rnacentral:lncRNA from 1 species
GUGUUUAUAUGACUAAUGCCAUAUCCUGCCUACUGCAUCAGUUUAAUAUUGAAUUAUUAGUGUGCAUGUAAAUAUUCUUAUUGUCUGUUACAGACAGGGCAGGUAAAGUCUUGGUUUGGUGGUAGAGGUGCAUCCAGCAAAGGCCUGUGUGACUUAUUUAGCUGUAAAUAAUUUAGCUGCUUUUUAAGACACUAGGUUUAGCAUGUUAAAAUGUCUUACUCACGUCGGCCACAGAGAAGGAGAUCCCACAGUCCUUGUAGCAGGCCGCGUCGGUGGCACUGUAUUAUCCUCAAAGCGGGCAAAGAAUGUCAAGGGGGGUACUCAAGGAAGCAGGAGGGGUUAAACUGUGUCUAUUUGUAAGUGUCUGUUAUAGAUCAUUUGGUGAACAUCUUCAACGGCCACAUUCAACAAAUUCUACUCAGGGUCUUCAAGUGUUUUUGUAACGCUGUCACUUUAAAAAUAGUGCUGACAACUGCACAGAAUGUUGCCAAGUGAAAAUUUAUAUCAGAUAAUGGAAAAUCAGACAUUUGUCAGGUCGUCCGUGAGCAAAGAGUGUAUCAAGAUAAGCAUGUGAAAGUUGUACCAGAUUAACGUGAAGGAGUUCAAAAUGAAGAUUUCACUCAAAUUGGUUUGUUGGUAUUUGUUGCAGUAUAAUCUCUGAUGGUAUGUAGCUAGCUAGGUAGUGACAGAAUAACGUUGCCUAUUUAACUAGCUACAACGAACAGGUCGUGGAUAACAAGCUAAUGUUAGUAACAAAUGAUUGGUGUUUUUUUUAAGCAGUUUUAUAUCUACGUCUUUAAGAUAGGUCAUUAGUGGAUAGUGUCAGACUGAUAGUAACGUUAUCAGUUUUGACAGUGGAAUUACAGUAACCAACUUAGUUGCUAGCCAACCUAGUUAUUAGCUACUCCAUGUUACUCACCUUGUGUUAUUUUAGUUGAAAGAAGACACUCUUCAUAGAAUACUAGAAUGGACAUGAACAUUAAUUUGUG